UGAACGCUGGCGGCAGGCUUAACACAUGCAAGUCGAGCGGGGUGAUGGUGCUUGCACUAUCACUUAGCGGCGGACGGGUGAGUAAUGCUUAGGAAUCUGCCUAUUAGUGGGGGACAACAUCUCGAAAGGGAUGCUAAUACCGCAUACGUCCUACGGGAGAAAGCAGGGGAUCACUUGUGACCUUGCGCUAAUAGAUGAGCCUAAGUCGGAUUAGCUAGUUGGUGGGGUAAAGGCCUACCAAGGCGACGAUCUGUAGCGGGUCUGAGAGGAUGAUCCGCCACACUGGGACUGAGACACGGCCCAGACUCCUACGGGAGGCAGCAGUGGGGAAUAUUGGACAAUGGGGGGAACCCUGAUCCAGCCAUGCCGCGUGUGUGAAGAAGGCCUUAUGGUUGUAAAGCACUUUAAGCGAGGAGGAGGCUCUUUUGGUUAAUACCCARGAUGAGUGGACGUUACUCGCAGAAUAAGCACCGGCUAACUCUGUGCCAGCAGCCGCGGUAAUACAGAGGGUGCAAGCGUUAAUCGGAUUUACUGGGCGUAAAGCGCGCGUAGGCGGCCAAUUAAGUCAAAUGUGAAAUCCCCGAGCUUAACUUGGGAAUUGCAUUCGAUACUGGUUGGCUAGAGUGUGGGAGAGGAUGGUAGAAUUCCAGGUGUAGCGGUGAAAUGCGUAGAGAUCUGGAGGAAUACCGAUGGCGAAGGCAGCCAUCUGGCCUAACACUGACGCUGAGGUGCGAAAGCAUGGGGAGCAAACAGGAUUAGAUACCCUGGUAGUCCAUGCCGUAAACGAUGUCUACUAGCCGUUGGGGCCUUUGAGGCUUUAGUGGCGCA
rnacentral:rRNA from 1 species